GCUAUGUGCAAACGAGUAGAGGCGGGCAGAUAACGACCGCAGCGCACAACAUGGCAGAAAUUGGAAACAAAUGCGGAUGUUUCAAACCCGGUUUUUAUUAUUAUAUUCAUUUUACGGUAAAACUAUUGGAUAAAUGGCACUUAAAUAAUGUCAACAAUACUAUUUUAAUCUUUGGUUUUAUUUAUAUUUGCAAAGAAAAUUAUAAUGUUUACAUUGUUAUUAUUUGACAGCUUCCGCAAAUGUUGUAAACGCUACGCGUCGCCACCGUCGCGCACACAGCCAAUAGGGUCGCAUUGCUUUGUUUUGAUUUUAACCACGGUUUUUUACACAUUGAUACUUACUAACAUAUUAGGACAUCCCCACACACGUCAUACUUUUAUUCUUUAUUGAUAAAAAGAUUAAAGGUCAAUGAGUUUGCCGAUAUACACAAACCGAAUUCUGUCAGUCUAUUGUAAACACAUCCACACGUCCACACGUCUUCUCUGCAAUAAUUUUACAUUCAACGUACAUUUUGUUAGGUUUAACAGGUACACUGUUUGAAAAAAGGUCCUUGCAGGCUUUCUAAGUCGACUCGUCGUAGUUGUAGUAGUAGUGUUCUGCAAGCCUUAUCCUUCACUUGUUUCAUUGAAGCAAGGCUAACUAUCCUUUAAAACGGUGUUGAUUUUGUUUUUGAACAAUUAUGGAGAUUCCCAAUGACUAUGAAGAUGUGGAUACGGUAAGUAUUGAUGAUACAUUGGCUCUUGAAGAAAUGGCAAAGCAAGAAAGGGCCAAGGAGAUGGAGGAAUUGCAUUCAUUAUGCGAGAAAGCGCAAUCCUUGAGUGCCGAUGUGCUGUAUUGUCGGCUCUCAAGAAUUAGAUUCGGUGUAGCUUGCUAUGAUUUAUGGAAAACAUUAACACAAGAAGUGGGUGGCACUCCAAAUGGCUGGCGGGAUCUAGGUCACUGUCUUAAUAUACCAGAGGACAAAUUAAAUG